UACAGAGGGUGCAAGCGUUGUUCGGAAUUACUGGGCGUAAAGCGCGUGUAGGUGGUGGCGUAAGUCGGAUGUGAAAUCCCUCGGCUUAACCGAGGACGUGCAUUCGAUACUGUGUCACUUGAGUACUGGAGGGGAUGGCGGAAUUCCCGGUGUAGAGGUGAAAUUCGUAGAUAUCGGGAGGAACACCUGUGGCGGAGGCGGCCAUCUGGACAGUCACUGACACUGAGACGCGAAAGCGUGGGUAGCAAACAGG
rnacentral:rRNA from 1 species